AGAGUUUGAUCAUGGCUCAGAACGAACGCUGGCGGCAUGCUUAACACAUGCAAGUCGAACGCUCUGACAGGGCUUGCUCUGUCAGGGAGUGGCGCACGGGUGAGUAGCGCGUGGGAACCUGCCCUGUUGUGGGGGAUAACCGAGGGAAACUUCGGCUAAUACCGCAUACGCCGGCUGUCUAGCGAUAGAUGGCCGGGAAAGAUUUAUCGCAGCAGGAGGGGCCCGCGUCGGAUUAGCUUGUUGGUGGGGUAACGGCCUACCAAGGCUUUGAUCCGUAGCUGGUCUGAGAGGAUGAUCAGCCACACUGGGACUGAGACACGGCCCAGACUCCUACGGGAGGCAGCAGUGGGGAAUAUUGGACAAUGGGGGAAACCCUGAUCCAGCAAUGCCGCGUGAGUGAGGAAGGCCUUAGGGUUGUAAAGCUCUUUCGGCGGGGACGAUGAUGACGGUACCCGCAGAAGAAGCCCCGGCUAACUUCGUGCCAGCAGCCGCGGUAAUACGAAGGGGGCGAGCGUUGUUCGGAUUUACUGGGCGUAAAGGGCGCGCAGGCGGCUCUUCAAGUCAGGCGUGAAAGCCCCGGGCUUAACCUGGGAACUGCGUUUGGGACUGGAGGGCUAGAGAUCGGGAGAGGAGAGUGGAAUUCCCAGUGUAGAGGUGAAAUUCGUAGAUAUUGGGAAGAACACCGGUGGCGAAGGCGGCUCUCUGGACCGAUACUGACGCUGAGGCGCGAAAGCGUGGGGAGCAAACAGGAUUAGAUACCCUAGUAGUCC
rnacentral:rRNA from 1 species